GCCUCCUUUCCUUCUCUCUCCCUCUCCCCAGCUGUCAAAUCAGAGCCUUGUAUUUACUUUUUUACAUUGUUAUUCUUUGCAAAUUGGAGCAGUGUGUUACUGACCACUAAGGUGUGGGAAGCCGGAAUCUGGAGGACUGGGAAUGAAGGGAGUUGUAGCAGUAAGGAAAUAUGGUUAAAGCAUAGAGUCCAUUACAGUAUAGGACCCCUCUUGACCCCCACACAGUUUCCUAUGGACAGCAGGCAGGAUGCUAUCCCUUAUAAUGCAGGAAGUUAAGCUUUGUGGCAGUUAAAAAUACCGCAGAGGACAUCUGGGCACCACUGGGAAGCACCUGCAUAGAAGAAGCUACUGUCUAUGGAGAAAGAAGAAGAGUAAUGACUCAUCCUGGGACAGUCGGUGUGGUCUGAGUGGGUGUACUGAUCCCCUCUCCUGUUUGUUGUCAAUACCUUGCGAGGCUCAAUGACUGUGCAGAAGGGAGUUUAUCAGAAACAGAUUAGCCAAUUACCCUCCUGACCUCCCUGCAAGAUCUCAUUACAAUUGUUUUCAGGCCUGUCUUCACAAAAGUAAAAUGUAUUCUGUGCUUGGAUCUGCAUGGGAAUGAGCUGCUGUGCAGUGUGUCAAGCAAUAUUUCAGCACACAAUUUUUAUUCUGAACAAACGGGCAGAUUUAAGCUUUCCCUUGGGCUCCCCUCAUUUGUUUCGUACAGGUUUUUACACAUUUUUUGGUUGUCUAUGAAGUUUUGUUCCUUUUAGAAAAAGAAAAGUGGUGUGUACAGAAGCAAAAGCUUAGUGAAUCUGUUCAUUAAUAUUUUAAAGCUUUCAAUAUAGUCUGAUUGCAAAUUUAAAGGCGCCUCCUAAGGGCACCUAAGUUGUUUCUUACAGUUAAAAUCAAUCGUUUCUAGUGGUCUUCACAUAAUUGCGCUUCAAAAGGAUUGUAAGAUCCCUGAACUGUUAUUGCGGAUUAUAACAGUUAAA